rnacentral:rRNA from 1 species
GUGCCAGCAGCCGCGGUAAUACGGAGGGGGCUAGCGUUGUUCGGAAUCACUGGGCGUAAAGCGCGCGUAGGCGGCUUGAAAAGUUGGAUGUGAAAUCCCGGGGCUCAACCCCGGAACUGCAUUCAAAACUUUCUGGCUAGAGACUUAGAGAGGUGGGCGGAAUUCCGAGUGUAGAGGUGAAAUUCGUAGAUAUUCGGAAGAACACCGGUUGCGAAGGCGGCUCACUGGCUAAGUUCUGACGCUGAGGUGCGAAAGCGUGGGGAGCAAACAGGAUUAGAAACCCCUGUAGUCC